AUUUAAAUAGCUUAAUUAAGAGCAUAGUAUUGAAGCUACUAAGGUAAUUUUUAAUUUUUAAAUA
rnacentral:tRNA from 1 species